rnacentral:rRNA from 1 species
AUUAUUAGUUAUUUUCUUUAAACUUAAAAAAAUUGGCGGUAUUUAAAUCUAAUUAGGGGAAUUUGUUUAUUAAUUGAUAAUCCUCAUGAAACCUUACUUUAUUUUUUAAUUUGUUUAUUGUCGUUAUCAAAAUAUUUUUUAAGAAUUAAUAAUUUUUAAUAUUUUUUAUAAAAAUUUAUUUCAGAUCAUAGUGCAGUUAUAUUAAAGUUUAAAUGAAUUACAAUAAAAUUUAUUUAUUAUGAAUUUUUAAUUGAAAAAUUAAAUUGAAAGUGGACUUAAUAGUAAAAUUAAAUUAUAUAAAUUAAUUUGAAUUAAGAAUUAAAU